rnacentral:tRNA from 1 species
AAGAUAUUAGUAAAACUCAUUACAUUGCUUUGUCAAGGCAAAAUCGUAGGUUAGACCCCUGCAUAACUUA